rnacentral:misc_RNA from 1 species
GCAAACUUGGUCAUUUAGAGGAAGUAAAAGUCGUAACAAGGUUUCCGUAGGUGAACCUGCGGAAGGAUCAUUAUUGAAUACUAUCGAGCGCUGUGCUGGCCUUUCGGGGCAUGUGCACGCGUUCUUUAAUAUCUAUCUCUUGUGAACCUAGUGUGGGCUUUGGAGGAACAGUUGGUCUUUUGGGCCUUUUGGGAUUCUGAAGACCAUUUUUAUAAACAUUUAAAAAAGUUAACAGAAUGUCUUCUUUUUACUUCGGUAAAAACAAAUCUAUACAACUUUCAGCAACGGAUCUCUUGGCUCUCCCAUCGAUGAAGAACGCAGC